AUCUAAGGUCAUACCACCCUGAAUGUACUCUAUCUUAUCUGAUCUCAGAAGCUAAGCAUGGUAGGGCCUGGUUAGUAUUUGAAUGGGAAAAAGUAAAUAUAAAGAUAUCCCCAGUCUAGAUA
rnacentral:rRNA from 1 species